rnacentral:rRNA from 1 species
GUAGGUGGCAAGCGUUGUCCGGAAUUAUUGGGCGUAAAGCGCGCGCAGGCGGUCCUUUAAGUCUGAUGUGAAAGCCCACGGCUCAACCGUGGAGGGUCAUUGGAAACUGGGGGACUUGAGUACAGAAGAGGAAAGCGGAAUUCCAAGUGUAGCGGUGGAAUGCGUAGAGAUUUGGAGGAACACCAGUGGCGAAGGCGGCUUUCUGGUCUGUAACUGACGCUGAGGCGCGAAAGCGUGGGGAGCAAACAGGGAUUAGAUACCCUGGUAGUCCACGCCGUAAACGAUGAGUGCUAAGUGUUAGGGGGGUUUCCGCCCCCUUAGUGCUGCAGCUAACGCAUUAAGCACUCCGCCUGGGGAUACGGCCGCAAGGCUG